UGGGGAAUUUUGGACAAUGGGCGAAAGCCUGAUCCAGCAAUGCCGCGUGUGUGAAGAAGGCCUUCGGGUUGUAAAGCACUUUUGUCCGGAAAGAAAUCCUUGGCUCUAAUACAGUCGGGGGAUGACGGCACCGGAAGAAUAAGCACCGGCUAACUACGUGCCAGCAGCCGCGGUAAUACGUAGGGUGCAAGCGUUAAUCGGAAUUACUGGGCGUAAAGCGUGCGCAGGCGGUUUGCUAAGACCGAUGUGAAAUCCCCGGGCUCAACCUGGGAACUGCAUUGGUGACUGGCAGGCUAGAGUAUGGCAGAGGGGGGUAGAAUUCCACGUGUAGCAGUGAAAUGCGUAGAGAUGUGGAGGAAUACCGAUGGCGAAGGCAGCCCCCUGGGCCAAUACUGACGCUCAUGCACGAAAGCGUGGGGAGCAAACAGGAUUAGAUACCCUGGUAGUCCACGCCCUAAACGAUGUCAACUAGUUGUUGGGGAUUCAUUUCCUAGUAACGUAGCUAACGCGUGAAGUUGACCGCCUGGGGAGUACGGUCGCAAGAUU
rnacentral:rRNA from 1 species